rnacentral:tRNA from 1 species
AGCAGUGUGGCUCAUUGGCAAGAGCCCGGGCUUGAUAGUCAGAGGUCAUGGGUUCGAAUCCCGGCUCUGCCA